GUUGUAUCGAUUCGAUAGGGAUACUCAUCAAAUAAAAUUGAAAAACCGAGAAGACCUCUCUCGCUGAUGGCGGGCCACAUAAAGUCGAAAGACCUAAACAGCAAUGCCGGUGGAUUACAAAAGCAGUUGGGCUCUCAAAUAUUAUUUAACUCGGAGUUUUCAUCACAUCGUCGUGCAACCCUUU
rnacentral:sRNA from 1 species